rnacentral:misc_RNA from 1 species
GACGAGGGGGAUAAGCGUUAUUCUUAUUGACUGGGCGUAAAGGGUACGUAGGUGGCUUUGUAAGUCUGUAUUUAAAGUCCCAGGGCUUAACUUGGGGAAUUUACUUAAAACUACUAAGCUAGAGUUAUAUAGAGGAUAGCGGAACUCUUAAUUUAGAGGUAAAAUGCUACAAGAUUUGAGGGGACCACCAAAGGCGAAGGCGGCUAUCCAUGUAUAACUGACACUGAGGUACAAAAGCGUGGGGAUCAAACAGG